AUAACUACUACAGAGAUAGGCAUUCUUAUCAAGGUUGUUUUCAUGUCUGUAGAUGAAUGGUAAACAUAUAUUGGAAAACCUCCUCUAGUGCUGGGAAGAGCAGAUGUUCGAAGGAAUUAUAAAACUCCACAGAGAAGUCUAUGUUACAGGCUGAUCCAAAGCCCAUUGAAGUCAAUGAGAGGACAUCGUAUCAGACCUAUGGUUACCUUUCUGGGCACGAGAGUGUAAUUGCAGAGCUAAGCUGUUAUGCCACAAUUCUUCGAAGGAGUGCAUAUGUGCUUAACUUUAAGCAGCUUGAUAACAACGAUAUAACAAGGUUAAGAGAUCACAUCCACAGAUCAGAGGGAAAAGGUUAUGAAGAGAAAAAAGAGGUAUAGACAAUAUACAAGUUUCUCUCAAAACUGCUAAAUUCUGAAAAAAAUGAUGUUGGUUUUCUGAGGAGAGUUUGACUCAGAAUGACAGAUGGAUGACAGCAAGAACACCGCUCCUAGCUGGUGUGAGGGCCAGGUACACGCUGAGUGAGUGGACAGGCCACAGCGAACUCAGCUCCCAGCCAGUGAGUGGGUGAAGCCCAUGCUGAAAGAGUGGAGCAGGCUGCAGUGAACCCAGCCUCCCACCUGGCAAGUGGGAGAGGUCCAUGCUGAGAGGGUGGAGAAGACUGUAGUGAAUCCAGCUGUCAGCCAGCAUGUGUCUCAGGUCCAUGCUGAGAGAGUGGAGAAAGCGGCAAUGAACCUUGCUCUCAGCCGGUGUGUGGAUGAGGUCCACCCUGAGGUGGCUCAAGGAAGCUGUCUUCACUGAGACCAGGCCAGAAUCAGUGGCACAAAACUGGGGGAUGGGACAAUGGAAAACUUCAUGUGAUGACAGUUUAUGUUCAUCCUGCAAAACCUUUCCAAAGAGCCAUUUAAAGGUUCCUUUCCCACUUCAGCUAAGAGAAUCAACACAUCGUUGGUCCUUGCUUCUGAAGACUGCCCUUGUACUCUCUAGUGCAGUUUCCAGCUUGAAGCAGGAGUGUCAAAAUACCAGGAGGAAGCCUGUCUUUGUGAGGUCUACUGCCCAAUUCUACAGAACCAACAGGUUCCUAAGGUCCCAAGAUGGAUGGAGCUAGAGUAGAGAGAAAUCAAAGGCAUUUCACCAUUUUGAUCAUGCUUGAAGGUGGAGGGGAAGAGACAGUUCUCCGAUAGAGCCACCAAUCUCCUAUGGACUGUGCUUAAAAACGGAUUGCAGCAAAACAAGAGACAUGUACAAGUGGAAAGUAAUACUAAACUGGAAUAAACAGGAGUCUGCUGCUGCUCUAGAUGCUUAAAUGAAAAUCAAGAUGAAUGCUGUCUUUGUUUUCAAGGGCUACUUGAACAACCUGACCCCCUACGGUUGCAGGGCAGAGGAUUCAUGCCUUCGACAGGGGCUGCCAGUAUACUGCAGCAUCAGUCUCUGUAUAAUAGCAGUUGUCACUCGGUGCACAGUAUCACUGUUCUAACCCAAUUCAUUUUUCAAUGACAUAAUUUAAAAGAGUGCUAUAUGUUGCUUUUUGCCAAGUUAUCUAUAAUGCUGUGAUAGUUAACUUUAAAUUAGCUAGUUCUUUCCAAAGUAGUAAUAUGCAGUUGUGCAAACCAACCAACAAAGGCAGCAGCACAACAAAACUGACCAAGAUGCAUACGCGUGUUGGCUCUGAAACAUCUGAUAGUUGGGAGGUUCUGACUGAUGCUGAAAUGGACACUUAACUGAGUUUUUAGGAAGUUGUUUUUUUUUUUAAGGCGUUCUGUCUUAUUAAGAUUUAAGUUCUAUUGAUAAGGCUUCAAUCAUGUACUUGGUCAAGGGAUGUUUUUAUUCUAUUGUUUCUAUAAUAUAAGGUAGGCAUAAAUGAAAACUACCUACCUAAAUACAUAUGAGUUCAUUAAAUCAAAUAAAGCUGAAUGUUCACUUUCUAUGAAGGACUCAGGGUUGCAUUUCUGCACAGAAUA